rnacentral:rRNA from 1 species
UACGUAGGCAGCGAGCGUUGUUCGGAGUUACUGGGCGUAAAGGGUGUGUAGGCGGUUGUUUAAGUUUGGUGUGAAAUCUCCCGGCUCAACUGGGAGGGUGCGCCGAAUACUGAGUGACUAGAGUGCGGGAGAGGAAAGUGGAAUUCCUGGUGUAGCGGUGAAAUGCGUAGAUAUCAGGAGGAACACCGGUGGUGUAGACGGCUUUCUGGACCGUAACUGACGCUGAGACACGAAAGCGUGGGUGGCAAACAGG